UCCUCCCUGCAUGCACUCACUAAGCUAUCUGCAAACCAGGUAGAGAUUCUUCACCGGAAACCAAACUGGCCAGAACUUUGAUCUUGGACUUCUAGCCUCAAAACUGGCAGAAAACAAUAACUGGAGAAGUGCCAAAAUGAAUUCCUGAGCCUGAAGUUGUUCCAUCAGGAGCUUCGGCUGGAUUGCAGUCACAGUGGAUUGGGCACUGAACAAGGCAUUGAGGAUAACAAAGUGCAUAGCCACAUCAAGGCACCACCUAUACACAGCUCUCCAGGGGCUUCCAACUCUGUGAAUGUUGGCCUGAGGCUUACCCUGAGCUCAUCUCCCUUGCAUAUCCCCUCAUUUCAUAUCCUUGUGUUUGCCUAACCCACUGGGCUCGAUGCCCUUCCUCAUAAAUGCUAAACACACUUCCCUUCAAGAUAUUUGCAUUGCUAUUUCCUUGGCUAGAAGAUUUACUCCCAGAUAUUAACCGUACUUCACUCAUAUCUCUGCUCAAAUACUAUCUCUUCACUCAGGCCUCUGGCAACAACUGGGUAUAUGUGGAGACUUCUCAUUCCAACACAGAUGUUAUCCUUCAACCAGCUUAUUUUAUAUUUAUAAUAUUUAUUCAUACCUGAUAUAUGAUACAUCUAUUUGUUUUCUAGUUUAUUAUUUGUCUCCCCAAUCAGAAUAUGAUAAAGUCUGUCUGGAAAAAGUGCAGCCAUUGUUAAUAUAACAAGAAUGGUUUGCAUGACAUCGAUGUAACCUGGCAGCCAAAGAGAGUAGGCUGGAAUG